UUCCCCUUGCAGGCUGGCAGUUUCCCAGUUUUUUCUCCGUCAAAGGAGAAAAUCUGCACUUUUCUGCAGUGAACAGAGAACCCAGAUUGGUGGCCUCAGUCAUCAUUCCUAAGAAAUAUUACAUUGUUUUUCUCAGGUUUGGGCCCUGACAGCCCUCUUCCUGUGAGGGGCCAGGGCCCUCAGGCCUCCACGUACUCAGGCACCUAUGCCUCACACAUUGAUAAUUUUCCCUUUUUUCUUGAAUCGUGCAACAUGCCUACAAAUGAUCUCACACUAGACUUACGUUCAGCAGUGAAUGAUUGAACUUUGCACAGCUGGAUGUGGUUAAAGUAGUUAAAAUGUAACAUAGGUUCAAAAGGGUUCUGUACCAUCCACUUAGCUCUCCUAGUAUAAAUGAUUAGUUUGUACAUUGUGCUUAAGGAUAGGUCUGUUUUUUAUCAAGGCCAAGUAUAAAUAGGAAUAGUAGGUGGGAGAGCAAGACACAGGUCAAGAUCCGGGCCAAAGUGAAGGGAAAAAUUAAUUGAAUUAACACUUAUUUCAAGAUGCACCUCAUCUCUUGCCAAUGUUCCUUGUUAAGAAAAAAAAAAGUUAGCUUAAGAACAUAAGAUGGAAGCAAGUCAAAAGUGCAGAAUCCAGAUAUGAUGUGAAAUGAGACGCAAAUAUGUGCCUCUCCCCUGGAGAUCAGUAACUGGUAUAGUAAGAGACAUGAAGCAUAUCAACGCAGCUGUGGGUCUUCAAGGAGAUGCUCACUGACCCUUUCUUUUCCCAGCAGAAGGAAGAACAGCUGUUAUAGUGCAGUACUGAGAAAGUGCUGUUAAAAUAAUUCAUUGUAAAAAUUAUUAAUCCCAAAGGUUGUCAAGGAAUAAUUACUAUGCUCUUCUACUGUUACAACAGGUCUAAAUUGGUCAUAUACAUUAUUAAUAAUUCUUUCCUUGGUGUUUGGAGAAUA